UCACUUACCUGGACGGGGUCGACUUGCGACCAAGAAGACGAGUGGCCUAAGCUAGUGACCUACAUUGCACAUAAAAGAACGGUGCUUAGCUUAAUCCUUAAGGUCUCCUCAACUGUGAGAGCAUGCGUUAUUAUUUGUGGCAGAGGGGUCAUCCGUUAGCGCGGUCACUAC
rnacentral:snRNA from 1 species